AUCAUCAUCAUCAUCAUCAUCAUCAAAUAUCAUAGCAUGUAGCAUACAGACAACAAACAAAUACACCCUCAUGCCUAUUUUGUGCCUAUUCUAAAGGCCUAGAGGUGUAUGUAUGUAUUAGUGCCUAUUCUAAAGGCCUAGAGGUGUAUGUAUUAGUGCCUAUUCUAAAGGCCUAGAGGUGUAUGUAUGUAUUAGUGCCUAUUCUAAAGGCCUAGAGGUGUAUGUAUGUGUUAGUGCCUAUUCUAAAGGCCUAGAGGUGUAUGUGUUAGUGCCUAUUCUAAAGGCCUAGAGGUGUAUGUAUGUAUUAGUGCCUAUUCUAAAGGCCUAGAGGUGUAUGUAUGUAUUAGUGCCUAUUCUAAAGGCCUAGAGGUGUAUGUAUGUAUUAGUGCCUAUUCUAAAGGCCUAGAGGUGUAUGUAUGUAUUAGUGCCUAUUCUAAAGGCCUAGAGGUGUUUGUAUGUAUUAGUGCCUAUUCUAAAGGCCUAGAGGUGUAUGUAUGUAUUAGUGCCUAUUCUAAAGGCCUAGAGGUGUAUGUAUGUAUUAGUGCCUAUUCUAAAGGCCUAGAGGUGUAUGUGUUAUUAGUGCCUAUUCUAAAGGCCUAGAGGUGUAUGUGUUACAGUGUUUCUUACCUAACACAGUAACAUACAAUCUGUCUGACUGCACAUUUCUCCCUGUUUUGCUGUUGUUAGCCCAGCAGCUGUAGGCACCGCUCUGACUGGCCUGAACAUUCUCCAGUCUGAGUUCUGGUCUCUCUCUACCCAGCAGGGUUCCAUUCAGAGC